rnacentral:misc_RNA from 1 species
GCAAACUUGGUCAUUUAGAGGAAGUAAAAGUCGUAACAAGGUUUCCGUAGGUGAACCUGCGGAAGGAUCAUCAUUGAAUCAUAACUUUUUCCAAGUUUGGAAGGGGGAGGAGGGGGAGAGAUUUCUCUUUUGUUCUUCUUUCUGGCUUGGAAAAACAAACAACUUUGAUACCCAAAAAGAGUCGUAUUCUCUUUCCUGCUUUUGUCUCUUCAGUGUUUUGCAGCUUUUCCGGCUUAUUUUAUUUGGGUUGGGUUGGCUUUGCUGUGGGAGGCCGGAGAGAGAAGGAGGGGGGAAAGAGAGGGGGAAACCCCAGACAAAAACACACGUAGUUGCCUGAUAAAAAAGAGUUUGGUUUGAGAAUGAAACAUGAAACAACUUUCAACAACGGAUCUCUUGGCUCUCACAUCGAUGAAGAACGCAGC